GAGAACUGUCGGGAGCUUCUUGAGACCGAGGACCGAAAUCCCGGCUCCAGGCCUCGGGGACUGCGGACUGUGGGGAGGCUGGCCGGAGAGAGAGGGAAGGACGGGGCCUGGCCCCCGGGACUCCCUGUGCCUUGCUUGGAGCUGACGCCGACGGUUUAUUGCAGGGAACUGACAAGAUCACAUUUUGAGAAGAAGUUGGAAAGAAUCCCAAGUGGAUGAACUGAAUAUCUGGAUGAGGACAAGAUCUGUGGGGAGAGACUGUAAGAAUGAGUCCAUUUAAGUCCCAGGACGGUGGAAACUAGCUAGUAGAUUGCAGCCAUGUUGUGGAAGCUGCUGCUGAGAUCCCAGUCCUGCAGGCUGUGUUCUUUCAGAAAGAUGCGAUCACCUCCAAAAUACAGACCUUUCUUAGCAUGCUUCA
rnacentral:lncRNA from 1 species